rnacentral:rRNA from 1 species
AUUGAACGCUGGCGGCAGGCCUAACACAUGCAAGUCGAACGAGUGGCGGACGGGUGAGUAAUUUCUGGGACACUUCCUGAUGGAGGGGGAUAACUACUGGAAACGGUAGCUAAUACCGCAUACGAUCGGAUGUUACAAGAUGGUAUUGGCUCGUAGGUGGGGUAAAGGCUCACCUAUGCGACGAUCCCUAGCUGGUCUGAGAGGAUGACCAGCCACACCGGAACUGAGACACGGUCCAGACUCCUACGUGAGGCAGCAGUGGGGAAGAGUGCACAAUGGGCGCAAGCCUGAUGCAGCCAUGCCGCGUGUAUGAAGAAGGCCUUCGGGUUGUAAAGUACUUUCAGCGGGGAGGCGUUACCCGCAGAAGAAGCACCGGCUAACUCCGUGCCAGCAGCCGCGGUAAUAC